rnacentral:lncRNA from 1 species
UUUUGUGAUGAGUGGGGGCACACAACCCCAAGGAUUUAUUAGCUUAUUUCUUAUUCUUGGUGAUUAAGACCUAAAAGGACCAAGACAUUCAAAGAGACAUGAGAGAAGCAGCCCCCGUCUCCCUCAGGCGGUUGCCCCAGCCUGUACGACAGUCUUGGCAAACUGUCCUCUCUUUCCCCUCCAGCACCCUGGAAGUCCUGGUUCCCACCUGUGGUUCCUUCCUGCUCCUCCCUCAGCUGAGCCACGAUGCCUGGUGGAUACAAAGGCGAAUGUGGGGACGAUGUGGACCCAAUGCCCUUCCUGGUACCUCCCGAAAAGGAGAGGAUCAAAGCCAUGAACAAGCCCUAUGACAUCAAGAGGUCCUGCUGGGUCAAGGACGAGAAGGAGGGCUUCGUUGCGGGGGAGAUCCAGUCCGAACAGGGUGACCAAGUCACCGUGAAGACGAUCACCAACCAGGUGAGUGGGGAACAAUCCCCAGGAUGGAACUGAGCUUUAGGAGCAGUGGACGCCUGGGCUCUGCCGUCCACACUUCUGCUCAAGAGGCAGGAUGGCAAGAAGAGCAGGUGCCUCUGAGUCUCGUGUGCUGGGUUCAAGUUCAGACUCAAUGACCCUCAAGCUGUGGGGCCCUGAGCAAGACACUUUCCCUCUCUGAGCUUUGGCUCUCUUACCAUAGAGAUUCCAGCGUGAUAGGGCAUGAAAAUACAUUGUGUGCCCCAAAACAGUGCCUGUGUGGGAGAGAUUAUCACGACAGUUAUUUGUCCUUAAAGCCCCAAACACCUCUCAUGCGGAAUCUAUUUCCUCAGAGGGAGAGGGGACAUCUCAGCUUGGGGGAGUUGCACUACCUGCCCAUGAUAUCUUGAGGAAUGUGAAACAAAACAGCCUGGUUGGUCUGGGUGAACUCUCCAGGGUCAUGAGCUACCGAAGGUGACCCAAGCGCCCGGCUGCAUGGCGGUGGAGUGCUGGAGCUGGCUUGCAAGGGUCCAAGAGUAAACAUUCAGGGGCUUUGCAGCCAGUUGUUAAAGCUUUGGCAGCCUGAUGUCCACCGUGGUGAAAGGAGCCACGCCCUGGAAAUUAACAAAUGGUAUAAAUCAGGUUUGCUUUUUUCUGUCCAGCUGGUUUGCUAGCACCCCGCUUUCUGCUGGUCCACACCGUGUCUGACUAUGAGGAGUGGCUUGAGCGUAGAUAGAAACCCCCUCCCCCAUGGCAGACUCCUGGGGAAGCGCUGGGACCUUUUGCUUCAUCCUUUCAAUAACCUUUGGAGUAGGAUUGAUGCACCCGAUUUUUGCAGAGGAUCCAAGAGACUUGUAGGUAACUUGCCUGCAGUCACAGAAGUAGAGUGUGAUGAAAUCAGAUUCAAAGCGUGCUGUAUGGUUCAAACACCCAUGCCCCUCUGCAGUAAGUACCCCCUCAUCUUCCACAGUGGGCUGCAGCGGGGCAGUGGGAGGUCCGUCCUUGGUGAAUUUCAUGAAUAAGAGAACAGAGACUUUCCACGGUCAGAACUUGCCACCGCUAAGCUUUGUGCCUCACCUCCUUUGAGGGGUGUGGCCGCAGAGCUGGGUUAGAGUGGGUUUGAACGCAAAAGUCAAGCUUAGCUCUCAGGGGAAACAUCCUUUUCGGAAGGGCAGGACACUGCAGUGUUGCCAGGAAUGAUGGAAGAUGAGAGUGGAACCCCAGAGGCCCCCGUCUGGAUGCAGUGUAAGGACAGCUCUUAACUUGGUGAGCCUCUGCAGUCAUACGCCAUGCAGCUAGGUUUGGGACAGAACAGACUGACUCAUCCGGCUCCGUAGAUACAGGCAAAGGUUUCCAUUCCUUUGCUGGGGCUGAAAGAGAAGUAUGGGUCUAUGGGUGAGGCCCAGCUGUCAGGAAACUCCCAGAAAGGGACUUUGAAUGAAACCCAGCCGGAUUUAUAAGGGGUGUGGUGGUCAUGCCGGGGUGGAUUUUCCAGAACUGUCAAGAUUUCAAAUGAUCUGCCUGUUGGACUCAUGAAUUAUGAAAAGUCCCAGAAACCCCAGCCGGUGUUUAAGCCUCGCAUCUCAGGCCGAAGGCAGCUCAAAGACAUGUGUUUUCUGGAUCACGUGUCUUGAGCUUCGGUCCCAGGUGCUGCCAUUUAGGAGCUGGCGCUCGCUUUCAUUUACAGAUGAAAAACUGGGGUACAGAGCAGGGCUGGGAUGUGCCUACUGUGCGCAGGAGCUCCAGAUGCUUAUGCCGUAUUAUUUUCACCCUAAAACAUCUACCACUCAUCAUCGUUGUCUUUUAUUGACUUUUUUUUAAAUUUGUUGGUCUUGUUGGCUUGCUUGCUUUCAAUUUUAUCGUUCAAGGGGGGUUGCUGGGAACAGGGGAAUGUCUUUUUUUAAUAGAAAUGUUCACCGUUAUUCAGAAACCGCCACAAAUUCUCAAGGCAGAGCGUCGAGCGUCCCAUCUCUGCAGAGUGUCCCUGGGAUCAAUGAGCAAGUGCCAGCAAUGAACUUGGCUGGACGAGAAGCACAGGCUGGAGGUGCUCUGAACGUAGGGAGGGACCAACUAAGGUCAUGUACUCU